rnacentral:rRNA from 1 species
GUACACUCCUGCGGGAGGCAGCAGUGGGGAAUUUUGGACAAUGGGCGAAAGCCUGAUCCAGCAAUGCCGCGUGUGUGAAGAAGGCCUUCGGGUUGUAAAGCACUUUUGUCCGGAAAGAAAUCCUUGGCUCUAAUACAGUCGGGGGAUGACGGUACCGGACGAAUAAGCACAGGCUAACUACGUGCCAGCAGCCGCGGUAAUACGUAGGGUGCGAGCGUUAAUCGGAAUUACUGGGCGUAAAGCGUGCGCAGGCGGUUUGCUAAGACCGAUGUGAAAUCCCCGGGCUCAACCUGGGAACUGCAUUGGUGACUGGCAGGCUAGAGUAUGGCAGAGGGGGGUAGAAUUCCACGUGUAGCAGUGAAAUGCGUAGAGAUGUGGAGGAAUACCGAUGGCGAAGGCAGCCCCCUGGGCCAAUACUGACGCUCAUGCACGAAAGCGUGGGGAGCAAACAGGAUUAGAAACCCGUGUAGUCCCAUG